rnacentral:rRNA from 2 species
CUUGUGACGGCGUACCUUUUGUAUAAUGGGUCAUCGACUUGGUCUAUCUAGCAAGCUUAAGCCGUUAGGUGUAGGCGCAGCGAAAGCGAGUCUUAAUAGGGCGAAUGAGUUAGAUGGAUCAGACCCGAAACCGAGUGAUCUAGGCAUGACCAGGAUGAAGGUAAGGUAACACUUACUGGAGGUCCGAACCCACACCUGUUGAAAAAGGUCGGGAUGAGUUGUGCCUAGGGGUGAAAGGCCAAUCAAACUCGGAGAUAGCUGGUUCUCUGCGAAAUCUAUUUAGGUAGAGCGUCAUCCGAAUACCAUCGGGGGUAGAGCACUGGAUGGGUAAUGGGGCCCCACAGGCUUACUGAUCCUAACCAAACUCCGAAUACCGAUGAGUACUAGAUGGCAGACAGACUGCGAAUGCUAACGUCCGUAGUCGAGAGGGAAACAACCCUGACCUACAGCUAAGGCCCCCAAUUCAUGGCUAAGUGGGAAAGCAGGUGGGACGACCAAAACAACCAGGAGGUUGGCUUAGAAGCAGCCAUCCUUUAAAGAUAGCGUAACAGCUCACUGGUCUAAAUAAGUUGUCCUGCGGCGAAGAUGUAACGGGGCUCAAGCCAUGAGCCGAAGCUUAGGAUGCCGUAAGGCAUGGUAGCAGAGCGUAGUGUGACAUAGUUCCAUUCCUCCUUAGCACCGUUCGCGGUGCAUUGGAGGACCGGAGCUUUCGAUGAAGCCGGGGCGUGAGCCAUCCGGUGGAGAGAUCACUAGUGAGAAUGAUGACAUGAGUAGCGACAAACAGUGUGAGAGACACUGUCGCCGAAAGUCCAAGGGUUCCUGCUUAAAGCUAAUCUGAGCAGGGUAAGCCGACCCCUAAGGCGAGGCCGAAAGGCGUAGUCGAUGGGAACCAGGUUAAUAUUCCUGGGCCAGGAAGUAGUGACGGAUCUCGAGGGUAGUUCAUCCUAAUCGGAUUGAAUGGGCUGCUUAGAGGUUCCUGGAAAUAGCUCUUCCGCUAGAUCGUACCCUAAACCAACACAGGUGGACUGGUAGAGAAUACCAAGGCGCUUGAGAGAACCACAUUUAAGGAACUCGGCAAAAUACCUCCGUAAGUUCGCGAGAAGGAGGCCCGAUUGAAACGCAAGUUUUGGUCGGGGGCACAAACCAGGGGGUGGCGACUGUUUACUAAAAACACAGGGCUCUGCGAAGUCGCAAGACGACGUAUAGGGUCUGACGCCUGCCCGGUGCCUGAAGGUUAAAAGGAGAGGUGAGAGCCUUGAAUUGAAGCCCAGGUAAACGGCGGCCGUAACUAUAACGGUCCUAAGGUAGCGAAAUUCCUUGUCGGGUAAGUUCCGACCUGCACGAAUGGCGUAACGACUUCCCCGCUGUCUCAAAUGUGGACUCAGCGAAAUUGAAUUGCCUGUCAAGAUGCAGGCUUCCCGCGGUUAGACGGAAAGACCCCGUGCACCUUUACUACAGCUUCACACUGGCAUUAGGCCGAACAUGUGCAGGAUAGGUGGUGGGCUUUGAAGCAGGAACGCUAGUUUCUGUGGAGCCUCCCUUGAGAUACCACCCUUGUUCUGCUUGAUGUCUAACCGCGGUCCGUUAUCCGGAUCCGGGACCCUGUGUGGCGGGUAGUUUGACUGGGGCGGUCGCCUCCUAAAGCGUAACGGAGGCGCGCGAAGGUUGGCUCAGAGCGGUCGGAAAUCGCUCGUUGAGUGCAAUGGCAGAAGCCAGCCUGACUGCGAGACUGACAAGUCGAGCAGAGUCGAAAGACGGCCAUAGUGAUCCGGUGGUCCCGAGUGGAAGGGCCAUCGCUCAACGGAUAAAAGGUACGCCGGGGAUAACAGGCUGAUACUGCCCAAGAGUCCAUAUCGACGGCAGUGUUUGGCACCUCGAUGUCGGCUCAUCUCAUCCUGGGGCUGGAGCAGGUCCCAAGGGUACGGCUGUUCGCCGUUUAAAGAGGUACGUGAGCUGGGUUUAGAACGUCGUGAGACAGUUCGGUCCCUAUCUGCCGUGGGUGUAGGAUACUUGAGAGGAGUUGCCCCUAGUACGAGAGGACCGGGGUGAACGAACCACUGGUGGACCUGUUGUGGCGCCAGCCGCAGUGCAGGGUAGCUAUGUUCGGACAGGAUAACCGCUGAAGGCAUCUAAGCGGGAAGCCCCCCUCAAAACAAGGUAUCCCUGAGGACCGUGGUAGACCACCACGUCGAUAGGCCGGAGAUGUAAGCGCAGCAAUGCGUUCAGUUGACCGGUACUAAUUGUCCGAUAGGCUUGAU